AUGGAGAGCUUUCUGUGAAGCCGGGUUGUAAGGCAUCCGGUGGAGAGAUCAGAAGCGAGAAUGUUGACAUGAGUAGCGAUAAAGAGGGUGAGAGACCCUCUCGCCGUAAGUCCAAGGGUUCCUGCUUAAAGCUAAUCUGAGCAGGGUAAGCCGGCCCCUAAGGCGAGGCCGAAAGGCGUAGUCGAUGGGAACCAGGUUAAUAUUCCUGGGCCAGGAGGAAGUGACGGAUCUCGAAGGUAGUUUGCCCUUAUCGGAUUGGGUGGGCUGCUCAGAGGUUCCAGGAAAUAGCCCUCCAUUAGACCGUACCCUAAACCGACACAGGUGGACUGGUAGAGUAUACCAAGGCGCUUGAGAGAACCACGUUAAAGGAACUCGGCAAAAUGCCUCCGUAAGUUCGCGAGAAGGAGGCCCAUAUGUGCGCAAGCAGGUGUGGGGGGCACAAACUAGGGGGUGGCGACUGUUUACUUAAAACACAGGGCUGUGCGAAGCCGUAAGGCGACGUAUACAGUCUGACGCCCGCCCGGUGCUGGAAGGUUAAAAGGAGGGGUGCAAGCUCUGAAUUGAAGCCCCAGUAAACGGCGGCCGUAACUAUAACGGUCCUAAGGUAGCGAAAUUCCUUGUCGGGUAAGUUCCGACCUGCACGAAUGGCGUAACGAUCUCCCCGCUGUCUCUAACGUGGACUCAGCGAAAUUGAACUGUGUGUCAAGAUGUACACUACCCGCGGUUAGACGGAAAGACCCCAUGCACCUUUACUCCAGCUUUGCACUGGUAUCAGGAUUGUGAUGUGCAGGAUAGGUGGUAGGCAUCGAAGCGGGGACGCCAGUUCUCGUGGAGCCUCCCUUGAGAUACCACCCUUCGCCAUCUUGAUAUCUAACCGCGGCCCGUUAUCCGGGUCCGGGACCCUGCAUGGUGGGGAGUUUGACUGGGGCGGUCGCCUCCCAAACAGUAACGGAGGCGCGCGAAGGUAGGCUCAGACCGGUCGGAAAUCGGUCGUUGAGUGCAAUGGCAGAAGCCUGCCUGACUGCAAGUCUGACAAGACGAGCAGAGACGAAAGUCGGUCAUAGUGAUCCGGUGGUCCCAAGUGGGAGGGCCAUCGCUCAACGGAUAAAAGGUACGCUGGGGAUAACAGGCUGAUGAUGCCCAAGAGUCCAUAUCGACGGCAUCGUUUGGCACCUCGAUGUCGACUCAUCUCAUCCUGGGGCUGGAGCAGGUCCCAAGGGUAUGGCUGUUCGCCAUUUAAAGAGGUACGUGAGCUGGGUUUAGAACGUCGUGAGACAGUUCGGUCCCUAUCUGCCGUGGGUGUAGGAGACUUGAGAAGAGUUGCCCCUAGUACGAGAGGACCGGGGUGAACGAACCACUGGUGGACCAGUUGUCGUGCCAACGGCAGUGCUGGGUAGCUAUGUUCGGACAGGGUAACCGCUGAAGGCAUCUAAGCGGGAAGCCCCCUUCAAAAC
rnacentral:rRNA from 1 species